rnacentral:rRNA from 1 species
GCAGCAGUGGGGAAUCUUGGACAAAUGGGCGAAAGCCUGAUCCAGCAAUACCGCGUGUGUGAAGAAGGCCUUAGGGUUGUAAAGCACUUUCAACUGGGAGGAAAACCUACCGGUCAAUACCCGGUAGCUUGACAUUACCUUUAGAAGAAGCACCGGCUAACUCCGUGCCAGCAGCCGCGGUAAUACGGAGGGUGCAAGCGUUAAUUGGAAUUACUGGGCGUAAAGCGUGCGUAGGCGGUUCGUUAAGUCAGAUGUGAAAGCCCCGGGCUCAACCUGGGAACUGCAUUUGAAACUGGCGAACUAGAGUUUAGUAGAGGGGAGUGGAAUUUCAGGUGUAGCGGUGAAAUGUGUAGAUAUUUGAAGGAACACCAGUGGCGAAGGCGACUCCCUGGACUAAAACUGACGGUGAGGUACGAAAGCGUGGGUAGCAAACAGGAUUAGAUACCCUGGUAGUUCACGCCGUAAACGAUGUCAACUAGCCGUUGGUCCUUAUGUAGGAUUAGUGGCGCAGCUAACGCAUAAGUGACCGC